UGUGCCAGCAGCCGCGGUAAUACGUAGGUGGCAAGCGUUGUCCGGAAUUAUUGGGCGUAAAGCGCGCGCAGGCGGUUAUGUAAGUCUGAUGUUAAAGCCCGGGGCUCAACCUCGGUCCGCAUUGGAAACUGCGUAACUUGAGUGCAGAAGAGGAAAGUGGUAUUCCACGUGUAGCGGUGAAAUGCGUAGAGAUGUGGAGGAACACCAGUGGCGAAGGCGACUUUCUGGUCUGUAACUGACGCUGAGGCGCGAAAGCGUGGGGAGCAAACAGGAUUAGAUACCCCAGUAGUCC
rnacentral:rRNA from 1 species